rnacentral:rRNA from 1 species
AGUGAACGCUGGCGGUAGGCCUAACACAUGCAAGUCGAACGGCAGCACAGUAAGAGCUUGCUCUUACGGGUGGCGAGUGGCGGACGGGUGAGGAAUACAUCGGAAUCUACUUUUUCGUGGGGGAUAACGUAGGGAAACUUACGCUAAUACCGCAUACGACCUACGGGUGAAAGCAGGGGAUCUUCGGACCUUGCGCGAUUGAAUGAGCCGAUGUCGGAUUAGCUAGUUGGCGGGGUAAAGGCCCACCAAGGCGACGAUCCGUAGCUGGUCUGAGAGGAUGAUCAGCCACACUGGAACUGAGACACGGUCCAGACUCCUACGGGCGGCAGCAGUGGGGAAUAUUGGACAAUGGGCGCAAGCCUGAUCCAGCCAUACCGCGUGGGUGAAGAAGGCCUUCGGGUUGUAAAGCCCUUUUGUUGGGAAAGAAAAGCAGCAGGUUAAUACCCCGCUGUUCUGACGGUACCCAAAGAAUAAGCACCGGCUAACUUCG